rnacentral:rRNA from 1 species
AGAGUUUGAUCCUGGCUCAGGACGAACGCUGGCGGCGUGCUUAACACAUGCAAGUCAAGGGGGCCCGCAAGGGCAACCGGCGAACGGGUGCGUAACACGUGAGCAACCUGCCGAAUGCGUGGGGGGAUAGCCGGCCCAACGGCCGGGUAAUACCGCAUACGUUCCCCCUGGGGGAGUCCCUGGGGGAGGAAAGCUGUGGCGUAAGCCAUGGCGCGCGUCGAGGGGCUCGCGGCUUAUCAGCUAGUUGGCGGGGUAACGGCCCACCAAGGCGACGACGAGUAGCUGGUCUGAGAGGAUGGCCAGCCACAUUGGGACUGAGAGACGGCCCAGACUCCUACGGGAGGCAGCAGUGGGGAAUCUUGCGCAAUGGCCGAAAGGCUGACGCAGCGACGCCGCGUGGGGGAUGACGCAUUUCGGUGUGUAAACCCCUGUUGCCCGGGACGAACACCUCCUUUUGGGGAGGCUGACGGUACCGGGUGAGGAAGCACCGGCUAACUCCGUGCCAGCAGCCGCGGUAAUACGGAGGGUGCGAGCGUUGUCCGGAAUCACUGGGCGUAAAGGGCGCGUAGGUGGCUACUUAAGCGUGUGGUGAAAGUCCGGGGCUCAACCCCGGAUCGGCCGUGCGAACUGAGUGGCUCGAGCACUGUAGAGGCAGGUGGAAUUCCGGGUAGCGGUGGAAUGCGUAGAGAUCCGGAAGAACACCGGUGGCGAAGGCGGCCUGCUGGGCAGUGGCUGACACUGAGGCGCGACAGCGUGGGGAGCAAACAGGAUUAGAUACCCUAGUAGUCC